rnacentral:rRNA from 1 species
UACGUAGGGUGCGAGCGUUGUCCGGAAUUAUUGGGCGUAAAGGGCUCGUAGGCGGUCUGUUGCGUCAGGAGUGAAAACUCGGGGCUUAACCCCGAGCCUGCUUCUGAUACGGGCAGACUAGAGGUAUGCAGGGGAGAACGGAAUUCCUGGUGUAGCGGUGAGAUGCGCAGAUAUCAGGAGGAACACCGGUGGCGAAGGCGGUUCUCUGGGCAUUACCUGACGCUGAGGAGCGAAAGUGUGGGGAGCGAACAGG